rnacentral:rRNA from 1 species
CAAUAGCGUAUAUUAAAGUUGUUGCAGUUAAAAAGCUCGUAGUUGAAUUUCGGGUCCCCGCGCUCGGCGCUUCAUUGUGCCGUCGUGGUGUCCCUCCUCGCCGUAAGGCGUCCUUUACUGUGAAAAAAUUAGAGUGUUCAAAGCAGGCAAUCGCUUGAAUACAUUAGCAUGGAAUAAUAAGAUAGGAUCUUGUCUAUUUUGUUGGUUGCGGACAACGAUAAUGAUUAAUAGGGAUAGUUUGGGGUGUCCGUAUUGAGCUGUCAGAGGUGAAAUUCUUGGAUUUGCUCAAGACGAACUACUGCGAAAGCAUUCACCAAGGAUGUUUUCAUUAA